CGGAGGAUCCAAGCGUUAUCCGGAAUCAUGGGUUUAAAGGGUCCGUAGGCGGUUUAGUAAGUCAGUGGUGAAAGCCCAUCGCUCAACGGUGGAACGGCCAUUGAUACUGCUAGACUUGAAUUAUUAGGAAGUAACUAGAAUAUGUAGUGUAGCGGUGAAAUGCUUAGAGAUUACAUGGAAUACCAAUUGCGAAGGCAGGUUACUACUAAUGGAUUGACGCUGAUGGACGAAAGCGUGGGUAGCGAACAGGAUUAGAUACCCUGGUAGUCCACGCCGUAAACGAUGGAUACUAGCUGUUGGGAGCAAUUUCAGUGGCUAAGCGAAAGUGAUAAGUAUCCCACCUGGGGAGUACGGGCGCAAGCCUG
rnacentral:rRNA from 1 species